GUCUGAGUGAGCUGCUCAGCCAGUCCCUGGAGAUGGUUCCCUUGGUGCGGUCACCUGGCUGACUUGUUUUUGGUGGCACAUGAGCAGUCCUACCCAAAUUCACUUUCGAAGGUUAAAAAGGUGACCUCUACUGGAGCCACAGCGUCCCCAGUGCUGCUCAAGUUUAAUGCAAUUAAGAGUCACCAGAUGCCCCACUUCUGGGUAUGCACCUGAAGGAAAUGGAAUCAGUCUCUCAAAGAGCUAUCUGCAGCCCAUGUUCACUGCAACAUUAGUCACAGCAGCCAAGAUAUGGAAACAACCUAAAUGUCCAUCAAUGGAUGAAUGGAUGCAGAAAAUGUCCUGAGUCAGAAUCUCUGAGAAGGGGGACUUACAUUUUUAACAAGUGCUCAGCAGGAUUCUUGAAAUCAGAAGAGUAUGAAACACCGGCAAAAGAAUAUAAAAAUAUGAAAAAACCUGCCUCCAUUCUGGGAACUAGGCAAAUAUACCCUCUCUGUCCAAAACGGCAGCAUUUUCCUGUUGGCUUUCAUAAACAUGGGGCCAAAGGAAGCCAAGAAAGACAACCCCAACUCACUAGUCAUAGAUGGACGAGGAAGGAAGCAGGGGAGACCAGUCACCAGGCAGCCC
rnacentral:lncRNA from 1 species